UAAGCCCAAUUAGGUUGGCUCGUCGUCUGGCUGCCAUGGCGAGCUUUGUAUGUGGUUCGAAGUUGUAGCUGCACGCGACUCCUUAAGCUUCUCUUGCAGGUCUGAGCGAACCAACUUCAGGUUCCAUUUAUGUCCGAAAGUAUGAUUAAGAUGGCAAACCAUGUGAGUCAGUCUUCUCAACCGUUAACCCCUGAGAGAGAGUUGGCAUUGUCUUUCAAAUUCAAGAGAGCAUGGGGCUUUUUUCUUUGCUUUUGUGAGUCGCUACAUGCACUAACUCAAGGACCAAAAAUGGUUGGAGAUUGUAACCAUCCAAGUUCACCGCUAGCACGUACUGUCCUCUUUGGCCUUUUCCUUUCGAGCUCUCCUCUCCAACCGAUGCGGAAUCUCACAAUCCACCUCCUUACAGGGCCUAGUGUUCUCGCCGGUACUCUUCCCUUCUUCAAUCGAUGUGGGACCCUCCAAUCCACCACCCUUUGGGGUCCAACGUCCUUGCUGGCACACCGCCUCGUGUCCACUCCUUUUGAGGCUCAUCCUCCUCGCUGGCACAUUACUCAAUGGCCGACUUUGAGACCAUUUGUAAUAGUCCAACUCCACCACUAGUAGAUAUUGUCCUCCUCGAACUCUCUCAAAGUUUUUUAAGUGUACAAUGAGUCAAUUUCAUUUUUAUUCUUUACCCGUUUGGCAAGUAGCCCACAUUCCCACACCCUAACAUUCUACUAUAACUAUAUUCCAAACCCAGCAGCUGAUUCUAUUCCUAUGGAUGGAAAGGAAGUGUUUUGAGAA